UACGUAGGGGGCUAGCGUUGUCCGGAUUUAUUGGGCGUAAAGAGCGUGUAGGCGGCCAGGUAGGUCUGCUGUGAAAACUCGAGGCUCAACCUCGAGACGUCGGCGGAAACCAUCUGGCUAGAGUCCGGAAGAGGAGAGUGGAAUUCCUGGUGUAGCGGAGAAAUGCGCAGAUAUCAGGAAGAACACCCGUGGCGAAGGCGGCUCUCUGGGACGGUACUGACGCUGAGACGCGAAAGCGUGGGGAGCGAACAGG
rnacentral:rRNA from 1 species